CAAGCAUGUUGAGUGGAAUGAAACAAAAUUGUCCACCAAAAUAGAUUACAUGUUCGUGUGCCUUACAAAGAGGAACUAACGAAUGCGGCUAUUUUGUGAUAAAAUUCAUGUUGGAAAUUGUUUCCAACCAAGCAUACAAAGGAGUGAAUAAAGUUUGGAGAGAUUUGAAAAAUUGUCCUACAACCAACAAGAAAUUGAUGAUGUUAGAGAUGUAUGGUCUAAGUUGCUUAUUGAUGAAUGCG